CGAGGCGUUUGUCAGAGAAGGGACAGAGCGGUGUGGAAUAAAGGCCUUUCUGAACUUCUGUGUUCUUAUGAAGAGUUGGUCCUGAUGAAAUAGUUUGUUGUGGAGGAUCCACUGGUGAGCGAGUGAUGUAAUGCUAUACAUUUCUCAAAAUCUGUUCUGAUAAAAAAACAAACUCUUCUACAUCUUGGAUGGCCUAAGGUUUGAGCCCGACAGAAGCAGAGCACACAGAUGGAGGACAGGAGGGAAGAGAGCAGAACACACACCAGACAGCAGCGUCCAGCAGAGCACCCAGUCAGAUAAAGGAGGUGUGGCGAUGGUGGUGGAUUCAUGCAUA